GGUGAGAUGCGAACGCGUGUGGCGGUGAUUCCAACAUCGAAUUCAGGUCGGGUGAGAUGCGAACGUGCGGCGGUGAUUCGAACAUCGAAUUCAGGUCGGGUGAGAUGCGAACGUGCGGCGGUGAUUCCAACAUCAAAUUCAGGUCGUGAGAUGAGAUGCGAACGCGUGUGGCGGUGAUUCCAACAUCGAAUUCAGGUCGGGUGAGAUGCGAACGCGUGUGGCGGUGAUUCCAACAUCGAAUUCAGGUCGGGUGAGAUGCGAACGCGUGUGGCGGUGAUUCCAACAUCGAAUUCAGGUCGGGUGAGAUGCGAACGCGUGUGGCGGUGAUUCCAACAUCGAAUUCAGGUCGGGUGAGAUGCGAACGUGCGGCGGUGAUUCGAACAUCUAAUUCAGGUCAGGUGAUAUGCGAACGUGUGGCGGUGUUUUCAACAUCGAAUUCAGGUCGGGUGAGAUGCGAACGUGCGGCGGUGAUUCGAACAUCUAAUUCAGGUCGGGUGAGAUGCGAACGUGCGGCGGUGAUUCGAACAUCGAAUUUAGGUCAGGUGAGAUGCGAACGCGUACGGCGGUGAUUCGAACAUCGAAUACAGGUCGGGUGAGAUGCGAACGCGUGUGGCGGUGAUUCCAACAUCGAAUUCAGGUCGGGUGA